AGCUUUGCGCAGUGGCAGUAUCGUAGCCAAUGAGGUUUAUCCGAGGCGCGAUUAUUGCUAAUUGAAAACUAAAUGAAUGAAGAAAAUGUGGUAUAUAUACACACACUGGUCACUUUAGUUUCAAAGAUACAUUU
ensembl:snRNA U4 U4 spliceosomal RNA